AUGGACAAGGCAUUCCGGUACAUCGCCGACAACGGCGGGGCGGCCACCGAGGACGCCUACCCGUACACGGCCCAGCAGGCCUCCUCCUGCAACACCGGGGCGCCCCGCGUGGUCACCAUCGACGGGUACGAGGACGUGCCGGCCAACAACGAGAAGGCGCUAAGGAAGGCUGUGGCCGCACAGCCGGUGUCCGUGGCCGUCGACGCGGGCAGGUUUCAGUUUCAUUCGGAGGGGGUGUUCGCCGGGGAGUGCGGGACCGAGCUGGACCAUGGCGUUGCGGUGGUGGGGUAUGGCGCCACCGUAGACGGCACCAAGUACUGGGUCGUGAAGAACUCGUGGGGUGAGGAGUGGGGCGAGAUGGGAUACAUCCGCAUGGAGCGCGACGUCAAGGAUAAGAAGGGCCUAUGCGGGAUCGCCAUGGGCGCUUCCUACCCGGUCAAGACCUCGCCCAACCCUCAGUCUGUCCAUGACGAACUCUGA
rnacentral:rRNA from 1 species